UCCUCCAUCCAAUCACCGCGCUGCGCUCUCCGUUGCGGCCUGCCACAGGCCUCCGCGGCUCGAAUGGCGCUGAAUCCUCCGUUCCCGCAGGGCCUCCGGUUCUCGUUCCGCUCUCCUUCUCCCUCGUCCCACCACCACUACCACCUCCUCUUCCCCGACUUCAGCGCCUGCUCUCACCUCCUCCUCCACUGCCCUUCGUGGCCGCAGCUCCAUCUCGCGCCGCGGAAGAGCAGGGCGUGCCCGUCCCGAGCGAGGUGCGUCCCCGGAUCGGCGGAGGAAGGCCGGUGGAGCGACUCGGAAACCUUGGUCUCCGACGGCGACGAUGGCGACGGCAGGGUCCCCGGCGUGGACGGGAGCAGUCCGCGGAGGACGGCGACCGCGUCCUCGUCCAGCGAUUAUUCGUCUAUUGGGAUUCGCGAACCGGUCUACGAGGUGGUAGAAGUGAAGUCAAACGGGAUGAUAUCUUCUCGGAAGAUCAACAGACGGCACUUGUUGAAGUCAAGUGGCCUUCGUCCGAGAGAUAUACGAAGUGUUGAUCCAUCACUCUGGCUGAUAAAUUCGAUGCCUUCUUUGCUGGUCCGUGAGAAUGCCAUUCUCCUUAAUUUGGGAUCAUUACGGGCAAUAGCAAUGCCAGAACGUGUGUUCUUAUUUAACUAUAACAGUAGAGGAGGAAAAGCCUUCAUAGACUCAUUGUUGCCUCGAUUAAACCCCAAUAUGAAUGGAGGGCACUGUAUGCCUUUUGAGCUUGAGGUUGUUGAAGCAGCCUUGGUUUCACGCAUUCAACGUUACGAGCAAAGACUGAUGAAUGUAGAACCUCGUGUUCUAUCUUUGCUUGAGGUUUUACCCAACAGAUUGACAGCUGAUAUCCUGGAGGAACUCCGUCUUAGCAAGCAGACUUUGGUUGAACUGGGUUCGAGAGCUGGGGCUCUGAAGCAGAUGCUCCUCGAUCUUCUGGAGGAUCCUCAUGAGAUACGCCGCAUUUCUAUUAUGGGAAGAAAUUGCACACUUACAAAAGGGAAUGAUAACGUGGAAUGUUCUGUUCCUCUUGAAAAACAGAUUGCUGAGGAAGAGGAGGAAGAAAUUGAGAUGCUUCUGGAAAACUACCUGCAAAGGUGUGAAUCUUGUCAUGGUCAAGCUGAAAGACUCCUUGAUUCUGCCAAAGAAAUGGAAGACUCUAUUGCUGUCAAUUUAAGCUCUCGGAGGCUUGAAGUCAGUAGGGUGGAGUUGCUGCUUCAGGUUGGAGCAUUUUGUGUGGCAGUUGGUGCGUUGGUUGCAGGUAUUUUUGGCAUGAAUCUGAAGUCCUAUCUAGAAGAGCAUGUGUUUGCAUUUUGGCUGACAACUGCUGGAAUUAUUUUUGGUGCUGUCGUGGCUUUCUUCCUUAUGUAUGCAUAUCUCAAGGCAAGGAAAAUACUGUAACUUGGAUCCCAAUUCUUGGUGAGUGAGAAAAUUUACUCCAACCCAUCUUGCGUUAAACUGGGUAUGAUAUGUAUGAUUUCACAAUAACUUGAGGUGCUCCUUGGGAGUUAUGGACCCACUGAACUGAUGAUAACAAUUCGCUAUUAUUGGUCAAGUGGAGUCUCAGUCCCAGUGUGGCUGAUCAUCCGAAAAGACCAACUAAGCAUCAGUGGCUUGGUCAGAACAUGACCUCUCUGAUAUUUUUAGCAGGUCGCAUAGAAGGGGAACUCAAGAUGUUGUCCUUUGUCUUUAAUGAGAGAACCCACAAGCAUUACAAGAAACAUAGAGGAAGUUCUCUUCUCGAGCAGUCAGAUUCUUCUACUGUGGAGCUUGCUUUGCGGAUCUUUACUGAUGUCCAAAGCCUCCCCAGAUAAAUGUUUGCCUUAAGUAGGCGUGUGCUUCACAGUAACUAUAAAUGCGCAGUCAGAUUGCUCCCGCAAAUAUGCUUCUAGUCGCUUGCUGUGAGCAAGGAGCUACGGUCAUGCAAUUGAUGGUUAUCUCCCACUUCCAUUAGUCUUUAACAGAUGUAGGGGACGGAUGAGCCAGUCCUCAGUGAUCCCCGUAGGAUGUAAUGUGCCAUUAUUUGACCAGAUCAAUUCUUGGAAUAAAACCAUAGUUCUGUCGGCUUAGAUGCAAA